GAUUAACGCUAGCGGCAGGCAUAAUACAUGCAAGUUGAACGAGAUAAGUUUUAGCAAUAGAACUUUGAAAGUGGCGCACGGGUGCGUAACACGUAUGCAACCUACCUUUUACUGGGGAAUAGCCUCUCGAAAGAGAGAUUAAUACCCCAUAAUAUAUUGAUAAGGCAUCUUAUUAAUAUUAAAGUUACGGCGGUAAAAGAUGGGCAUGCGGCUGAAUAGGUAGUUGGUGAGGUAAUGGCUCACCAAGCCGACGAUCAGUAGGGGGUCUGAGAGGAUGUCCCCCCACACUGGUACUGAGACACGGGCCAGACUCCUACGGGAGGCAGCAGUAGGAAAUAUUGGACAAUGGGCGCAAGCCUGAUCCAGCCAUGCCGCGUGCAGGAUGAAGGCCCUAUGGGUCGUAAACUGCUUUUGUACGGGAAGAAACCUCACUACGUGUAGUGAGUUGACGGUACCGUGAGAAUAAGGAUCGGCUAACUUCGUGCCAGCAGCCGCCGUAA
rnacentral:rRNA from 1 species